UCGAGGAGGAAUUAGUUUAGCAGAAAAAGUUAACACUUUUUCAAAUGAAAACUAACUCAUUUACCACAAAAUUCAACCAAGAAAGCCUUAUUAUCGACAAAUCUUUAAUACAGAGCCAAGUGUUUAUUAUUUUUGGCUAAAUUUUGAGCUUCUAAUAGCGAACGAAGAACAAUUAGAGACGAACCUUUCUCUAGAAUCUCGAAGAUCCACAGUCCAAGAUGUCGGAGUUUAGCUGGAAAAGUUGCUACUUUUUCAAAUGAAAAAUAACUCAUUUAUUACAAAAUUCAACCAAGAAAGCCUUGUUAUCGACAAAUCUUUAAUACAGAGCCAAACGUUUUACAUUUUUGGCUAACAUCUUAUAUUAAGCUCGGAAUAGCGAACGAAGAACAAAGAGACGAACCCUUUCUCUCGAAUCUGGAGUCGAAAAAUCAACCUUUCUUAAAGAUAUUGAACUUUGGAGACUUGAAGAAGCAACUAUAACUCAUCCUAAAGCCAAAAUGGAACAACUUUAUUAGAGAAUAGACCAGAAUGAGCUGAGAACAAUGAGAAUGUGGUACUUUAAUCAGGCUCAAGAGAAAUCAGUAUUUUGACUAAAAUUUUGCAGUAGUUUCAACAAAAAAAAUGGAAAGGCAGGAUGGUACAACACAAUUGAACUGGAAAAAGUCGAGAUUUUCUGUGGAGAAUCGUUUUUCMUCUUGGUUCCACGUGUGGAGGGUGUAGGGUGAGCUGUAUCCAGGUAGAGCACUCGAACAACAUAUCUUUCUUGUGAAUGUUCUCGUGGCGUUUGAGGUUGAAUAGUCUUUUGAAGGACUUUCUGCACGCUUGACACUGAAGUUUUCUGGAACAUCUGAUCCAAUAAAACUGAAAUAACUAGCU